GCUGGGGAUAGCUAGUGUCGGAGUUUCCGACAUUUUAUAUUCGGGUUGAAUACAAAGGAUAGUGGAUUGAAAUUCCCAAGUAGGAUCUUGGGGAGUGGAUGUAGGUGCAAGGUUAGCACCAAACCACUAUAAAUCCUUGUGUUUGUGGUGUGCUUUAUCGCUUUACUUUAUAUCUUUAUUAUAUUCUUGCAUUCCUGCUUUAGGUAUUUAAUAUUGAAUUAAAAUCUUUGUCUUGUUCGUUAUAAGAAAUUAAUUAAGUAAUCGGUUGGGCUUAAAAUUUUUAGAAACCCAAUUCACCCCCCC
rnacentral:lncRNA from 1 species